rnacentral:lncRNA from 1 species
UCUGCCCUUGCAUUUGAGUUGCCUCCCCUUAUUUGGCAAAGUUGGAAAAAAAAUUAUCAAACAAAAGUUUUCUGUUUUUUGUAAAAUACAACAUAAGUAUGAUAAAACAUGUCAUUUUCUAUAUCGAAAUGGAAGUUCUUACACAUGAGUUACCUACUACUCUAAAUAUUUGCACAUUCUAUUAAAGAUCUAGACCUUGUUUUCUGGUAUUUCCAAAUCCAAGAUGGAGGAAGACACCCUAUCUACCUUAA